ACAAGCAGCGGAGCGUGUGGUUUAAUUCGAUGUUACACGAAGAACCUUACCAGGGUUUGACAUGCAAGUGGUAGGAAACCGAAAGGUGACCGACCCUUCGGGGAGCUUGCACAGGUGCUGCAUGGCUGUCGUCAGCUCGUGUCGUGAGAUGUUGGGUUAAGUCCCGCAACGAGCGCAACCCUUGCCAUUAGUUGCUACGAAAGGGCACUCUAAUGGGACUGCCGGUGACAAACCGGAGGAAGGUGGGGAUGACGUCAAGUCCUCAUGGCCCUUAUAGGUGGGGCUACACACGUCAUACAAUGGCCGGUACAGAGGGUAGCCAACCCGCGAGGGGGAGCCAAUCCCACAAAGCCGGUCGUAGUCCGGAUCGCAGUCUGCAACUCGACUGCGUGAAGUCGGAAUCGCUAGUAAUCGCGGAUCAGCAUGUCGCGGUGAAUACGUUCCCGGGUCUU
rnacentral:rRNA from 1 species